rnacentral:lncRNA from 1 species
UACUUUUAUUUUCUUUUGGUUCUCUUUUAUUCAUAUUGCAUUUACUUCGUUUUAUACUAUAUCAUUUGUCAUAAUCUUCUUGAUUGAUGGCAAACAGGGAGAAUAUGAAUACGAUUUCGAUAUAUCUUAUAACCCUAAUAAAUUCCAAACAAUACUAAAAUCCUGUUGAUUAUUUUUUGAACUUCAAACUUUUUCUAGUGUCAACUCAGGAGGAGCUUACAAACCUCACUCUGAAGAAACUGAAUUUUUUUUAUAAGUAUAAAACUCAAGGUGAGCUUAG